rfam:Brachypodium distachyon strain Bd21 chromosome 2, whole genome shotgun sequence.
UUCAUACUCCCUCCGUCCAACAAAAGAUGUCUCAAGUUUGUCAAAAUUUUGGAUGUAUCUAGACAUGACUUAGUGUAUAGAUGCAUUCAAAUUUAGUCAAAGCUAAGUCAUCAUUUGUUGGACGGAGGAAGUAGAUG